AGUGAACGCUGGCGGUAGGCCUGACACAUGCAAGUCGAACGGCAGCACAGUAAGAGCUUGCUCUUACGGGUGGCGAGUGGCGGACGGGUGAGGAAUACAUCGGAAUCUACUUUUUCGUGGGGGAUAACGUAGGGAAACUUACGCUAAUACCGCAUACGACCUACGGGUGAAAGCAGGGGAUCUUCGGACCUUGCGCGAUUGAAUGAGCCGAUGUCGGAUUAGCUAGUUGGCGGGGUAAAGGCCCACCAAGGCGACGAUCCGUAGCUGGUCUGAGAGGAUGAUCAGCCACACUGGAACUGAGACACGGUCCAGGCUCCUACGGGAGGCAGCAGUGGGGAAUAUUGGACAAUGGGUGCAAGCCUGAUCCAGCCAUACCGCGUGGGUGAAGAAGGCCUUCGGGUUGUAAAGCCCUUUUGUUGGGAAAGAAAAGCAGCAGGUUAAUACCCCGCUGUUCUGACGGUACCCAAAGAAUAAGCACCGGCUAACUUCGUG
rnacentral:rRNA from 1 species